UUUAGUGAUGAUAGCGAAGAGGUUUCACCUGAUUCCAUUCCGAACUCAGAAGUUAAGCUCUUCAGCGCUGACGAUAGUUGGCUUUGCGCCUGCGAAAAUAGGACGUUGCUAAAU
rfam:Firmicutes bacterium M10-2 genomic scaffold acPFH-supercont1.12, whole genome shotgun sequence.